ensembl:lncRNA novel transcript
AUGACAAGGCCUAGCACUGGGAGUCAUUAGGCACCAGAACCCUGAAUGCCGAGAUAGAGGGAUGGCUGAUCUCAUGCUAAUGAGGUUUAGACCAUGUUGAGCCCUACUUUUGUUCUGUGGGAUGUUGGAUAUCCCUUAUACACCUAUGGCUCCAUCUUCAUCGUUAUUGUAAUUAUCUGGCAAGUGAAAAGGAGCCACCAUGAAUUGAACUUGGAAGUUGAAAGGAGCUGCUGCUGGCGUCACCAAAAAGUCAGGCAAAGAGCUAGAGAUGCAGCAUCAACAGCUAGGAGACUUUCUCAGGAAGAAGAUCAGAAGCCACAAGAGCUGUUCUCUGUCAUGAAAAGCCAGGGCUGGCUUCCCCCAGAGGGAAGUGUGCGGCGAAUCCUAUGUACAGAUCCCUGUUGCCAAAUUUGCAAUGCUAUGGCUCUGGAGAUUCAGCAGUUGCUGGCGGAUGAGAAUGACUAGAUCUCCCCAACUUUGUCGAGGAGUCCAUCACAGGUCUCCUCUUGCCUAGAGAUCUUGUCUCUGUCUAGUGUAUCCUUUGAGCAGAGUAUAGAGCUCCAUUCCAGAAAUAUCAGAGAGCUUUCACUGGCAUCUAUAAACCCAACACUGUCACAAUUAACAGAUCAGAAAUCUUUAACCCAGUCAGCUGCCCAGUCAACGUAUGCAGAUGGCAUACAAGAUUACUGGGCUGAUCACCUCCAGCUAGGGCCGGAAUUUCAAGUGCCAGCUGUGCUCCGGGGCCCAAACACCAUAGCUUCUUCAAGGCUUGACAAGCCAAGGGCUCCACUGAACCAGGAGGAGAUGAGCAGAGCAACCCCAGCCUUGUCCAGGGAAACCAAGGCCAGCAUCACUUGAAUUUCCAGGUCUCCUUGCUGUCCCUGAACCCAGAAACCCUGAACCGGAUGCAUCCGAUGGCCUUGCAUAUGGUCCUCCCUGCCCACCUGCCAUUUCUCAGUCCUGAAGUGCUGAGGCUUCUUGAGGUACAUGUUAAAAAAUGGAUGCAUUUCCAGAGGUGGGGGCUCCCAAGACGUGUGGAGGAGUCCCUGAGGCAGCUUAUGCCAAACCCACCAUUGUAUUACCAACCUGGAAAUGACCAGCCAGUUUCUUUCAACCUGAAUAAUACUUCUCAGGUCUCUCUUCACAGAUCUGAGACCAUUUCCCUCCAGACCUGGUGUUCAUGUGUGGCUGGCCAGCCCAUCCAGACCUUCUGGGUUUCUGAAUGGUCCACAAUGAACCCAGAACAAAGACACCACUGUCAGCAAACUCCAAACCCUAUGGCUCUAGCCUUGCCCUCUCCAGCCCUUAAAGCCCUAAGUGGCCCCCAUCCACAGUCUGGGGGACAAGAUAAUGACUCAGGGAGUGAUCUCCAGCAGAAAUACAGCCAGCUAUUCUGUGGGCUCCCUUCUCUGCACAGUGAGUCCCUGGUUGCCACUUUCAUGGGAUCUCAAGGCCUUCCCAAGAUUGAAAAUGUGCCCAAGCCCCCCUUGAAGGAUCCUUUUCUCUUCAAUGAUCUCUCCUUCCCCCAACUGCUCCCUAAAACUUCACCCCAGUCAGCCCCACCCUCUUCCCCACUUUCGCCAAAUUGGGUGUCUCCAUCUGACCAUCAACGAGCUCAGAUCAAUGUCCCAUUUCUGACUCUGGCUGAGUAUGAAGCCUUGGAGUGGCACCUGCUACAGAGGCAACUCCAGCUUCAGUGGGGCUGGCCAGCUGCCCUCCAGAGGUCUCAGCACACCCAGUGCCUCAUGCAGCAUGAGCCCUGUGGCAAAGCUCAGUCUCCUGAGACCACGACAGCUUCCCAGACAGGGAAGUCCAUCUCAGUGCUCACCAGGGAACUACUCUUCUUCCCGGAGCAUGCCCGGAAGCUGCUGGAAUUCCACAUCCAGAAACAGUCGAUUCGCCAUCGCUGGGGCCUGCCUCAGAAGAUCCAGCAGUCCAUCCAGUUGCUCCUUACCUCCACUGACCAGCAGACUGUGUCCAGCAGCAGCACAGCCCUAGCCAACGUGAGCAUCCCCCAGCCUGUAGCCCUAGAGGCCAACGGGGCUUGCGAUGUGCUGUCACCCAUUGCGGCCCCAGUGUCCAUCCCCAGGCCACACUUGUUAACUCAGGUCAAGGCAAUACUGCAGAGCCACAUCGACUCCAAAUGUGGACAAAUCCACCAGGGCAAGAUCCCCGCCUGUGUACACAGGUCCUGGGACUGCAGAAUUUCUGGGGUCCUGGCAGUGGCUCCUUUUCCCUGCAUUCCAGAAAGCCAGUUCCUGGUACUGCAGACAGCAAGUGACCCAGACCUACAUCACAAAGUUAUGCCCUGGAUGCCAACGGCCCUUGAUCAGCAGCAACAGGCCUUACCAGGUACUGUCACUGAACACCCUAAGCUGCUCCGAGUCUUGUCUGUGGAAGCCAUUGAGAAACUGGAGACAACUUUACGGCACAAGCAUCUGGCCUUCCUGUCGGGGCUGCCUGCUCUGUAUUAUGUGGCGCUCCCCAGGGCCCUGGCCCCGGCAGUCACUAGCCAAUCUGUCAUCACAGAGAUGGAGCCUAGUCCCGUGGAAAUCCCAGCAGAGCCUCUGAUUUAGAUGGUUUCAUUUGAAGAACAGUGUAUAAGUCUUGGGCCAUGCCCUCAAGGCAACAAUGAGAGUUGUACAGACGUUGCAAAAGAGUUCCAGCCUGCAGUGCCAGUAAAAGGAACAAUGGAGACGCUGCCUCUAGAAAGCCAGACGCAUCCUACUAGCCCCCACUCACUCCAGACACAUAUCUUGACCAAACUAAACUUCCACCUGAGAAAAAAGGUCCUAGAGAUACAAUGGGGAAUUCCCAUUAGGGCAAGGAAGUCCAGGGAACAAACUGCUGCAGCACCAGAGAACAUAUCCACACAGAAGUCUCUUGAAAGUCUAAACCACCAAGGGGAGACAUUGCUCCAGGAACUGCCCAUCCCACCAGACACUCUUCCUGCCCCUAAUCCAGAAGGGGUUCACCUUAAAGAACAGCUGGCCAAUGACUUGAAGGCAGUGCAGCAGAACCAAAAGCAAUCCAAUUCCAAAGCAGUACCCCAGGGUUCUGCCCACUCGGUCUCCAAGAUCUCACAACCCAGUGGGGACAUGACAGAGGCCCACAUGCCUUGUGUUCAGGUAGAGGCCAGUGUGAACAACCCCAGCCUGGAGGAACCCUGUGGCCCUGAGCCUCAAAGCCCUAGCAAGAGCAAGGACCCAGCCCAUGUCCCCAUGCUAGCAGGAAACAGAGAGGACCCAGAGGAAACCAAAGCAGCCAGGGACUACAGAGAAGGGGAUGCGGGGUUUGGGCGCUCCUCAACCAGAGAAGAGAGACGCCCUGCUGAAGACCAGAGGCCAGCAGGGAUGCUUCCAAACAAGACACCCCGAGGGUCCUGGCGAUGGAGCCGUAGCUUUCAUCUUGCUGAUCCCUGUCAACACAGCCCCCAGCAUCACCCUCAGUUUAAGCUCCCACAGCUACCUCCACGAGUCCCUGGGGAGAAAGAGUCUGAGAAGGACCUGCAAGACAGUCAAACCAAGCUAACUGUCAUCCUUGAACCAGCAACAAUUCCUGAGAAUACCCAGACUGUGGUGCCCCAGCUUCACAGGGUCAGCCUUUCCUGAGCCAACCAACUCAGGCUAAGCCUUUGCAGGGCCAAACUUUGCAAUGCCAAGUUUUACAUGGGCUGGUGAUGCCAGCCCAUACUCAAAAGAAGCCCAGCCUUACAGAGUCUAGCUUCAGAAAUAAAAUUAAAUGUUUUCUGG